UACGAAGGGUGCAAGCGUUACUCGGAAUUACUGGGCGUAAAGCGUGCGUAGGUGGUGCGUUAAGUCUGUCGUGAAAGCCCCGGGCUCAACCUGGGAAUGGCGAUGGAUACUGGCGCGCUAGAGUGCGGUAGAGGAGAGUGGAACUCCGAGUGUAGAGGUGAAAUUCGUAGAUAUUCGGAAGAACACCAGUGGCGAAGGCGGCUCACUGGCCCGGUACUGACGCUGAGGUGCGAAAGCGUGGGGAGCAAACAGG
rnacentral:rRNA from 1 species